AAGUGAGAAGCAACUCUUGCAAUCAGUUUCGACCUGAUCUUAGAUAAAAGUACCUUAUCCUCACUUU
rnacentral:tRNA from 2 species